UCUCUCUCCCAUCGCCUGGACAGAGCUCGACCGCUGCAUGGCCGUCGUCGAUAGCCGGCUGUGGGUGGUGCCCAACCCCAUUCAGUCGCCCCUCCACCUUAUCCCUUCCCCUCCGCUCCCUUCUCCCCUCUCGCUCCCAUGAUCCCAUCCAUUUUCCCUCUGCCGCACACUACACACAGAGAUGGAGAGCAUCACACCGAGCUACACCGCCCCGCUGCCGCCCCAAAUUCGCCGGCCACAGGCACGAAUCCACGGGGCCAAGUCACGAGCAGCUCGAAGGAAGGUCACAGGGAGCUAUUCUGCGCUGAUCCCAUCGUUUCCCCACUGUUCCUCAUCGGGUUGAGCUUGCCGACGUCGUCUUCUUCGGCUCCGGCGUGUCUUUCUCAUCAUCACUUCAUCGAGCCACCCCUCUGCAACUCCUCCGCCCCAAGUGAGUCCACAGUCAGCAUCAAGGGGUUAUCCCCUUGUCUUUGAGUGCAUCGAUUUCCUCGCAGCCCGACGCCAGCACGUCGUUCUGCACAACCCGAGAGCCGCCGUACCUCUGCGCUCACCGCCGGCCACCUUCCGGCCAGGCCCACCGGCCGAGAUCUGCUCAGAAAGUCUUGCCAUCGCACGUUGGUCCUGGUGGUGUCCUCUUUUUGCCGAGACCAGCCGCUGUUCGCCGGCAGCAAGGUGCACCGCCGUGGCUCACGCGCGCCGGCAGGCCGGACAUGGCCAAGAGAAUGAAAAGCCGGAGAGCAAUGCGGGCGUGAUCACGGGUGAUCCGAAGGUUGUUGCUGUGGAUUGUGAAAUUGAGAAUCAUGGAAAACAUCUCUUCAUUCUUCACCCCUAUUUUGGAUCUAUGUGUUAUUUAUUUUUGAUAAAUUAUCGAUUUAUGUAUGUCAUGCAUGUUUAGCGAGUUAUUCUUGGAUUUUGUGGGUAGACCCUAUUUGUUGCAUUACCCUACCUUGACAUUGUUCAUCACUUGAUCCAUUGUAACCCGGGUGAUAUAAUGUAAUUUCUAACUUAAAAUGAACACGUUAUGAUUAGCGAGGCAUAGGUCAUUGGUAGAUGUUGAGUGAUGGUUCAUCUAUCGUUCGUGAGGUUUAGGGUUUAAUUUGCAUUGCCCUAGUGUGUGCACUACUACAGAAAGGGUCAUUCGUGCCCCUUCUUCACUGCCAGUUCAAAAAUAACUAGGAGUGAUAUGUUAUCAAUGCGGGUUCGUAAGCUUCAGUGCACAUAAAAAGUUGAGCCAGCAAGAACCGGUAGUGAUGUUAGCUCUUCAAAAGACAUACUUUUUAUAACCGGCAGUGAUAAUGGCUAUCGCUGCUAGUUGUGUUUACGAACCAGCAAUGAUACUAAAAACCCGUAUGACUUCAUGUGCGCGCCUACCAAGCUUCACGUGCUCAACGGCUCGAUCAUCUUCCCAGUGACUUUAAAUGUUUGCUCACUCUCGCUCGCUCUAUCACUCUCCCUUACUCUCUUUCACGUGCUCUCUCUCUCUCUCUCUCUUUCUCUCUCUCUCUCUCUCUCUCUCUCUCUCUCUCACUGUCAGUCGCCUCCACCUCCCGUGCAAUCCAUGGACGAUCCGCUGCCGCCUCCACCACCUUCUCCGAGGACGCCUCCCACACCCGCAUCCUUGUCCAGGGAGGAGGAGGCCCCGUCGGAUGAGGUGCCCCCAAACCUCCGAUUUUGGCAUUUCGUCGGGAUCCCCCUCGUCGGACGAUGAGGUGUAGGAUGUGUUCAUCAAUUAGCCACCGAGAGCCAAGAAGGUCCAGAUGAGCUCGGAGGAGGAGGACGGGCACGAGGAUAACAGCGAUGACGAGGAUGAUAACAAUGACAAUGAUAACGACAAUGACAACGAGGAUGAUGAUGACACGAUGGCGAUGACAGGACGAUGAGGCCACAUACUUCCUUUCGUGCAUUGAGUUUCAUCAUGACCACAACUAGUUAGCUAGGGUUAGUCGACACGGGCGUUAGGGUUUUUGCACUAUCUUCUGCGUGACGGUAGCUUUUGCUGUUAUUAGUAUAAACUCUAUUAAUAUGAUCAUUAGUAAUGCUAAUCUUGUUUAAAUUAAUGCAUGAAUGUUUAAUUUUUUAUUUUUUAUCCUAGAUUGAGUAUCACUGUCGAUUCGAAGCUGGAACCAGCAGUGGUAAGUAUACAAAUGAAUCAGAAUAAGAUCAAGAACCAGUAGUGAUAUGUAUAAUUACUGUCAAUCAGCAGUGAUAAUUAUGGAUUAUCACUACCGUUUAUUCACUGCCGGUUCAAAAACUAGCAAUUAUGUCAAUUUUGAACUGGCAGUGAUGACCAUUUCUGUAGUAGUGGUGCCUUGAGAAGGAGCUAGGUGGUCCUUAGCAUCAUGAGGAUUGUCCAACCGGCCAGGGAUGGAUGAGAGAAAGGUUGUCAUGGGGGCCAAUAGGAUGGACUCAUGUCAUGUGAGUAAAGUUGUACCCCCUGUAAAGUGUAAGAUCAAUUUGAAUUAUCGCGCUCCCAGUCUUAAGCAUGCUUAUGUCCAUCUGCAUUAAUUGUAGAGUGUUUGAUGUUUGGGUGUAUAUGGUUGUAAGUGGUAUGUUGGGAGUAGCUUGUGUAUGUCUAUGUUGAGAUAAACUUGUUCACUUGUUGGCUACGUUUAUGUACAUGUUGUCUCAUGAGGAUAGUUUCUGUUAGAUGCCUACACCAUGUGUCUUUUAAAUUCUUUUCACUUAAAUUCAACUACACCUUGUGGCUUACUCCUUACUACUCAUUCCAAUUAUAUAAUCCUUGGAGUUGGGUUAUUAUAUGUAACCAUAUGAGUUCUUGCAAGUACCUUCGUACUCAUGAUACUAUCGUUGAGUUUUUGCAGGUGAGGAUGAGUUAGUCUAUAGCUACUUCAUGCCCACUGAUGUUGGUGAUGGGCAAGAGUAGUGAUGUGCUACUCUUGAUGGCUCAGUGGUGCCUUAGGGCAAAUGGCGCCACCUCUUUUUGCUAAUUUUAGUUGAUAUUUCUGCUGCGUGGUAAUGAUCAUGUGAUAGGUUAUGAAAUUGAUGUAUUUUACUUAGUCUAGCACUUAAAUUGUUGUAUGCUGAGAGCCUAAACUUAUUAUUUGGGCCUCAUCCUCUAAUUUCAGCAUGUAGUACUUUAAGUUGUGGAACUUGUUAUAACUUUAAAGUCUUGUAAUAUAUUUAAUUUACUUGCUCUU